UACGGAAGGCAGCAGUGGGGAAUAUUGCACAAUGGGCGCAAGCCUGAUGCAGCCAUGCCGCGUGUAUGAAGAAGGCCUUCGGGUUGUAAAGUACUUUCAGCGGGGAGGAAGGCGGUGAAGUUAAUAGCUUCACCGAUUGACGUUACCCGCAGAAGAAGCACCGGCUAACUCCGUGCCAGCAGCCGCGGUAAUACGGAGGGUGCAAGCGUUAAUCGGAAUUACUGGGCGUAAAGCGCACGCAGGCGGUCUGUCAAGUCGGAUGUGAAAUCCCCCGGGCUUAACCUGGGAACUGCAUUCGAAACUGGCAGGCUAGAGUCUUGUAGAGGGGGUAGAAUUCCAGGUGUAGCGGUGAAAUGCGUAGAGAUCUGGAGGAAUACCGGUGGCGAAGGCGGCCCCUGGGACAAAGACUGACGCUCAGGGUGCGAAAGCGUGGGGAGCAAACAGGAUUAGGAUACC
rnacentral:rRNA from 1 species